CAGCAGCCGCGGGAAUACAGAGGGUGCGAGCGUUAAUCGGAUUUACUGGGCGUAAAGCGUGCGUAGGCGGCUUCUUAAGUCGGAUGUGAAAUCCCUGAGCUUAACUUAGGAAUUGCAUUCGAUACUGGGAAGCUAGAGUAUGGGAGAGGAUGGUAGAAUUCCAGGUGUAGCGGUGAAAUGCGUAGAGAUCUGGAGGAAUACCGAUGGCGAAGGCAGCCAUCUGGCCUAAUACUGACGCUGAGGUACGAAAGCAUGGGGAGCAAACAGGAUUAGAUACCCGUGUAGUCCCUGUCUCUUAUAA
rnacentral:rRNA from 1 species